rnacentral:rRNA from 1 species
GAUGAACGCUGGCGGCGUGCCUAAUACAUGCAAGUCGAGCGAACGGACGAGAAGCUUGCUUCUCUGAUGUUAGCGGCGGACGGGUGAGUAACACGUGUAUAACCUACCUUUAAGACUGGGAUAACUUCGGGAAACCGUAUCUAAUACCGGAUAAUAUUUUGAACCGCAUGGUUCAACAGUGAAAGACGGUCUUGCUGUCACUUAUAGAUGGAUCCUCGCUGCAUUAGCUAGUUGGUAAGGUAACGGCUUACCAAGGCAACGAUGCAUAGCCGACCUGAGAGGAUGAUCGGCCACACUGGAACUGAGACACGGUCCAGACUCCUACGGGAGGCAGCAGUAGGGAAUAUUGCGCAAUGGGCGAAAGCCUGAUGGAGCAACGCCGCGUGAGUGAUGAAGGUCUUCGGAUCGUAAAACUCUGUUAUUAGGGAAGAACAUAUGUGUAAGUAACUGUGCACAUCUUGACGGUACCUAAACAGAAAGCAACGGCUAACUACGCG